AUUGAACGCUGGCGGCAUGCUUUACACAUGCAAGUCGAACGGCAGCGCGGGGCAACCUGGCGGCGAGUGGCGAACGGGUGAGUAAUACAUCGGAACGUACCCAGAAGUGGGGGAUAACGUAGCGAAAGUUACGCUAAUACCGCAUACGUUCUACGGAAGAAAGUGGGGGACCUUCGGGCCUCAUGCUUUUGGAGCGGCCGAUGUCUGAUUAGCUAGUUGGUGAGGUAAAGGCUCACCAAGGCGCCGAUCAGUAGCUGGUCUGAGAGUACGACCAGCACCACUGGGACUGGGACACGGCCCAGACGCCUACGAGAGGCAGCAGUGGGGAAUUUUGGACAAUGGGCGCAAGCCUGAUCCAGCAAUGCCGCGUGAGUGAAGAAGGCCUUCGGGUUGUAAAGCUCUUUUGUCAGGGAAGAAACGGCUGAGGUUAAUACCUUCGGCUAAUGACGGUACCUGAAGAAUAAGCACCGGCUAACUACGUGCCAGCCGCCGCCGUAA
rnacentral:rRNA from 1 species